UACGGAGGGUGCGAGCGUUGUCCGGAAUCACUGGGCGUAAAGGGUGCGUAGGCGGGUCUUUAAGUCAGGGGGGAAAUCCUGGAGCUCAACUCCAGAACUGCCUUUGAUACUGAGGAUCUUGAGUUCGGGAGAGGUGAGUGGAACUGCGAGUGUAGAGGUGAAAUUCGUAGAUAUUCGCAAGAACACCAGUGGCGAAGGCGGCUCACUGGCCCGAUACUGACGCUGAGGCACGAAAGCGUGGGGAGCAAACAGG
rnacentral:rRNA from 1 species